rnacentral:rRNA from 1 species
AUUGAACGCUGGCGGCAGGCCUAACACAUGCAAGUCGAGCGGAUGAGGAAAGCUUGCUUUUCGAUUCAGCGGCGGACGGGUGAGUAAUGCCUAGGAAUCUGCCUGUUAGUGGGGGAUAACUCGGGGAAACUCGGGCUAAUACCGCAUACGUCCUACGGGAGAAAGUGGGGGAUCUUCGGCCCUCACGCUAACAGAUGAGCCUAUGUCGGUGUGGCUAAGAUGGUAGGAGAGGUAAUGGCUCACCAAGGCGACGAUCCGUAACUGGUCUGAGAGGAUGAUCAGUAACACUGGAACUGAGACACGGUCCAGACUCCUACGGGAGGCAGCAGUGGGGAAUAUUGGACAAUGGGCGAAAGCCUGAUCCAGCCAUGCCGCGUGUGUGAAGAAGGUCUUCGGAUUGUAAAGCACUUUAAGUUGGGAGGAAGGGCAUUAACCUAAUACGUUAGUGUUUUGACGUUACCAACAGAAUAAGCACCGGCUAACUUCGUGCCAGCAGCCGCCGUAACAC